rnacentral:RNase_P_RNA from 1 species
AAAGUCAAUCGGGCAGUCGCGGCGGACCAAAAGGUCCGACGAGGAAAGUCCGAGCAUCGCAGGGCAGGGUGCCGGAUAACGUCCGGCGGAGGCGACUCCAGGGAAAGUGCAAUAGAAAUAAACCGCCGCACUUUUUGCGGUAAGGGUGGAAAGGCAGGGUAAGAGCCUACCGCGCCGGAGGCGACUUUGGCGGCACAUGUAAACCCCACCUGAUGCAAGACGGAAUAGGAAAGCACUAUGGCAGCGGCCCGCUGCGCUUUCGGGUAAACGUCGCUUGAUUCAUAUAGCAAUAUAUGAACUAGACAGAUGGCUGCCUAAAACAGAACUCGGCUUACGGAUUGGCUUUACAC